GACGAACGCUGGCGGCGUGCUUAACACAUGCAAGUCGAACGAAGUGGCGAACGGGUGAGUAACGCGUAAUCAACCUGCCCUUCAGAGGGGGAUAACAGUUGGAAACGACUGCUAAUACCGCAUACUGAAGAACGGGUUUGCGUGUGAUUAGCUAGUUGGCGGGGUAACGGCCCACCAAGGCGAUGAUCAGUAGCCGGUCUGAGAGGAAGAACGGCCAAAUUUGGACUGAGAAACGGGCCAGACUCCUACGGGAGGCAGCAGUGGGGAAUCUUCCGCAAUGGAGGAAAGUCUGACGGAGCAACGCCGCGGGAGUGAUGAAGGCCUUCGGGUUGGAAAGCUCUGUUAAUCGGGACGCGGUACCGGAAUAGAAAGCAACGGCUAACUACGUGCCAGCAGCCGCGGUAAUUC
rnacentral:rRNA from 1 species